rnacentral:rRNA from 1 species
GACGAACGCUGGCGGCGUGCUUAACACAUGCAAGUCGAACGGGUCUGCCCUGUUUUUUGCGGGGUGGGUCAGUGGCGAACGGGUGAGUAACACGUGAGUAACCUGCCCCUCACUUCUGGAUAACCGCUUGAAAGGGUGGCUAAUACGGGGUGUUCUGGCUGUGCCGCAUGGUGUGGCUGGGAAAGAUUCACUUUUGUGGUGUUUUGGUGGGGGAUGGGCUCGCGGCCUAGCAGCUUGUUGGUGGGGUGAUGGCCUGCCAAGGCUUUGACGGGUAGCCGGCCUGAGAGGGUGGGCGGUCACACUGGGACUGAGAUACGGCCCAGACUCCUGCGGGAGGCAGCAGUGGGGGGUAUUGCACAAUGGGCGGAAGCCUGAUGCAGCGACGUCGCGUGAGGGAUGGAGGCCUUCGGGUUGUGAACCUCUUUCGCCGGUGAAGAAGGUCCUGCUCUUUGUGGUGGGGUUGACGGUAGCCGGGUUAUGAAGCGCCGGCUAACUACGUG